rnacentral:rRNA from 1 species
GCCUUUCGGCUCUACAUCCAGGAGGCAGCAGGCGCGCAAAUUACCCAAUCCCGACACGGGGAGGUAGUGACAAUAAAUACUGAUACAGGGCUCUUUUGGGUCUUGUAAUCGGAAUGAGUACAAUUUAAAUCCCUUAACGAGGAACAAUUGGAGGGCAAGUCUGGUGCCAGCAGCCGCGGUAAUUCCAGCUCCAAUAGCGUAUAUUAAAGUUGUUGUGGUUAAAAAGCUCGUAGUUGAACCUUGGGCCUGGCUGGCCGGUCCGCCUCACCGCGUGCACUGGUCCGGCCGGGCCUUUCCCUCUGCGGAACCCCAUGCCCUUCACUGGGUGUGGCGGGGAAACAGGACUUUUACUUUGAAAAAAUUAGAGUGCUCAAGGCAGGCCUAUGCUCGAAUACAUUAGCAUGGAAUAAUAGAAUAGGACGUGUGGUUCUAUUUUGUUGGUUUCUAGGACCGCCGUAAUGAUUAAUAGGGACAGUCGGGGGCAUCAGUAUUCAAUUGUCAGAGGUGAAAUUCUUGGAUUUAUUGAAGACUAACUACUGCGAAAGAUUUUUUUGCCAAAAAA